rnacentral:rRNA from 1 species
GUAGACCCGAAACCGGGUGACCUAUCCAUGGCCAGGUUGAAGCGAGGGUAAAACCUCGUGGAGGACCGAACCACGUUGCUGUUGAAAAAGCAUGGGAUGAGCUGUGGAUAGCGGAGAAAUUCCAAUCGAACUCGGAUAUAGCUGGUUCUCCUCGAAAUAGCUUUAGGGCUAGCGUCGUGAAAUGUGAGUACUGGAGGUAGAGCACUGAAUAGGCUAGGGGGCAUAGCGCUUACCGAACCUUAUCAAACUCCGAAUGCCAGAUACUAUCAGCACGGCAGUCAGACUAUGAAAGAUAAGUUCCAUGGUCAAAAGGGAAACAGCCCAGAUCGUCAGCUAAGGUCCCAAAGUGUAAGUUAAGUGGAAAAGGAUGUGGGAUUUCUAAGACAACUAGGAUGUUGGCUUAGAAGCAGCCACUCAUUAAAAGAGUGCGUAAUAGCUCACUAGUCAAGAGAUCCUGCGCCGAAAAUGUCCGGGGCUCAAACUUACCACCGAAGCUACGGGUUCAUACUUUGUAUGAGCGGUAGAGGAGCGUCGUAAUCGGGCUGAAGUCGUACCGUAAGGAGCGGUGGACUGAUUACGAGUGAGAAUGUUGGCAUUAGUAGCGAGAUGUAGGUGAGAAUCCUACAGGCCGAAUAUCUAAGGUUUCCUGAGUAAAGUUUGUCUUCUCAGGGUUAGUCGGGACCUAAGGCGAGGCCGAGAGGCGUAGUCGAUGGACAAUUGGUUGAUAUUCCAAUACCACUAUAAUCGUUAUUAUCGAUGGUGUGACGGAGAAGGAUAGGAUGUGCCAGCUAUUGGAUGCUGGUCUAAGCGUUGAGGGAGUUAGAACAGGCAAAUCCGUUCUAACAAUCCUAGGGCGUGAUGGGGAAGGUUCUACGGAACCGAAGUAUCUGAUUUCAUGCUUCCAAGAAAAGCAUCUAGAAAGAGAAGUAGUGCCCGUACCGCAAACCGACACAGGUAGAUGAGGAGAGAAUCCUAAGGCCGACGGAAGAAUCACAGUUAAGGAACUAGGCAAAUUGACCCCGUAACUUCGGGAGAAGGGGUGCCUACCAUUUGGUAGGCCGCAGAGAAUAGGCACAAGCAACUGUUUAACAAAAACACAGGUCUCUGCUAAAGCGUAAGCUGAUGUA